AUUUCAUGAACGAUCCAAAAAUUGAACACGACAGCAAAGUCGAGAUGAUACAAAUCAACUCCUAGUGGAGGAUUAUAGUUCUUUCUAUAUAAGCUACGAGUUUGAAAAUAUUCAAAGCAAGGUCAUAUCGUAGCGGUAGUGGUAUAUCUGAGAUUAUUCUAAGUUUCCUCUCAUCCAGUAGUUUCGGAAGAACAUCACUUCGUUCAAAAUGAAGCCAAUGAUUUUUACUGUUUGUAUCGUGCUGUGUGCAAUGCUGCUUACAGUCGAAGGUCGUAGUCGCCACAAGCGAUCUUCUAGUAGUUCGG